ensembl:lncRNA
CCACCUCCCGCCGCUGCUUGGAGCUGAGGCGAAAACCUGGAGAGCGCCGCACCAGGGCCGGAGCACUGCGCAUGCCCAAUGGCCCCACCGGGUGCGGGUCGCCAGCAGAUUUCCUCCAGCUCGCGCAGUGGAACCCGAUAUCGGGACGGUGAUCGAGCGGCAGGGACAGCAGUCUUCCGCGGCCCCGGCCUUUUGGACCGACCCGCUCGUGCCGCCGUAGUAUGGGUCUCCCUGGACGCGCUACCCGCAGGGUCUGGUCUGGGGGCGCGCGGGGGCGGGGAGUAGGGACCAGGAACGGCCGUGCCUGCGUGACACGUGACUGUCGGCCGAGCUCCGGGGCAGCCAUCUUCAGUUUUCCCGGGCCGCAGGCGAAGAACCGUCCGGGAUCUGGAUAGACUCUAUUCAGUCGCCUCCCCACCAGGCCCGGGGACCAGCCCUCACCUGCAAUCCGCUAGUCUACAGCGGGGGUACAGCGGCGCCGGCGAUACCGGGAGGACAGGCUGUCUCCAGAGCCAGAACCUAAAGGCUGAGAAUUGGAGAGCCGCUCUCCUGGAGCUGAUGGCUUCAGCUUUUCCCCAGGGGCGGAAGUUGGGGAAAGGAGUUCCCGUUCCUAAGGCGCCCUCAUCGCUCCUCCUGCCGCUUCCCUGUUCUGACCCAUUCCCGGGGACAGAGGAUGAAGGUUGCUGAAGUUGUUUGGACAGCCGUCGCCCUCCUCCAUGCUUUUCUCCUGCUGGUGGUUAGCUUGGAUGGUAGCUUGUUUAGUCACCUGGGGUCCUGGAAUCUCUGAACCUGCAACCUCAUUACCCGAGAAUUCUUUAGAACGGCACAUUCACGACCACACCUAGACCUACGGAAUCAGAAACGCCUCUAGUGGGGUCCUUCCCGAAAUCCGGUUAACAAGCUCCCAAGUCCUCAGAACAGUGAAGAACAGGAGGCUAGAGAAGUAGCCCAGCAGUUAAGAUUACUUUCUAUUCUUGAAGAGGAUCCUAGUUCAAUUCCUAGCACCCCACGUUACCACUGACAACCAUCUGAAACUGGUUCCCACGGAUCUGAUGCCUUCUGUGGCUGCAGAACACCAGGCAUGUAAGAGUUACACCUGCAUGCUGGCAGGCAUAGAUUCACAUGCAGAAGUAAUGUCUUUAAGAAAUAAAAGAAUCCUAACGCUAUUUCUUACAAAUCAUGAUAAGAAGCGUAUUCAUUAAAAAUGUUUAGGUUUCUCAAGUCCGGGACUGGCAUGGAUAAUGUUGUUGGAGCAGUUAAAUAAAAAUGAAUCACCUCUGAGCCUGCCAUGCUAAAGUAAUACCAAGAACAAGUACUGAGACACACACUUCACUCGCCAAAGUGACUCCUCCCAUGGUGGUCAUUUCUAAAGAUGAGUAAUCUAAGUAAAACAUGCGGUUUUAUCCCAUCGACCUGUAAAUGACAAGCACCACUUACUAGAUAUCAGUCAAAGCUCACACCAUGUUCUCAGAUCAACGGAGCUUCAGUGAGUAGCCAGGACAAUGUGUCUCUGUUAGAAGAACCCAAAGCCACACAGCCUGAGCAGCAGGGCCAAGGCUUCACGGCCGCUUCAGCCUGUCCUAUUCACCUGGCCAAUCUACAACCUGAGUUUAAAGUGGAUGCUGUGGGUGGGGACCCAGCUGCCCAUGACUAAGUUUCCAAGUAUUCCUAUUGCCCUGAGGAAUAGAUCUGUGAAUGACCUGCAUUGAGUUCAUCUCUGUGCCUCUGCCUGAGACUCCUGGCUUCACUAAUUGUCUGGUUUCCAUUAAUCAACAAAGACUGGAAUUGUUUGACUAUCCUUGGGUAGAUGAAGGAUGCAGCCCAGUUUCUCCUUGCGCACAAAACUCCUUUCCCUGCAUCUCCAAUGCCAUACAAUGGACAUGUAGUAUCCCUGAUCUUUGGGACACCCAGCACAAGAGUUGGCACCAGACAGCCCUUACUUCUGUUGCACUGGAAUUUGUUGAUUGAGUAUGA